rnacentral:rRNA from 1 species
GAUGAACGCUGGCGGCGUGCCUAAUACAUGCAAGUCGAGCGAAUGGAUUAAGAGCUUGCUCUUAUGAAGUUAGCGGCGGACGGGUGAGUAACACGUGGGUAACCUGCCCAUAAGACUGGGAUAACUCCGGGAAACCGGGGCUAAUACCGGAUAACAUUUUGAACCGCAUGGUUCGAAAUUGAACGGCGGCUUCGGCUGUCACUUAUGGAUGGACCCGCGUCGCAUUAGCUAGUUGGUGAGGUAACGGCUCACCAAGGCAACGAUGCGUAGCCGACCUGAGAGGGUGAUCGGACACGCUGGGACUGAGACACGGCCCAGACUCCUACGGGAGGCAGCAGUAGGGAAUCUUCCGCAAUGGACGAAAGUCUGACGGAGCAACGCCGCGUGAGUGAUGAAGGCUUUCGGGUCGUAAGACUCUGUUGUUAGGGAAGAACAAGUGCUAGUUGAAUAAGCUGGCACCUUGACGGUACCUAACCAGAAAGCCACGGCUAACUACGUGCCAGCCGCCGCGGUAA